GAGUUUGAUCCUGGCUCAGGAUGAACGCUGGCGGCGUGCUUAACACAUGCAAGUCGAACGGAUCCGCAAGGAUUAGUGGCGCACGGGUGAGGAACACGUAGCUUACCUGCCCCAAAGUCUGGGAUAACUCCUCGAAAGAGGCGCUAAUACCGGAUAAGCUCACGGUGACUAGAAAUCUGUGAGAAAAGGUUACGCUUUGGGAGGGGGCUGCGGCCCAUCAGAUAGUAGGUGAGGUAACGGCUCACCUAGUCUACGACGGGUAGGGGACCUGAGAGGGUGACCCCCCACACUGGGACUGAGACACGGCCCAGACUC
rnacentral:rRNA from 1 species